GAUGAACGCUAGCGGCAGGCUUAACACAUGCAAGUCGAGGGGCAGCACGAGUAGCAAUACUUGGUGGCGACCGGCGGAUGGGUGCGUAACGCGUAUGCAACCUACCUCACAUUGGCGAAUAACCCGGAGAAAUUCGGACUAAUACGCCGUAUGUGUGACUGAGGCAUCUCAGUCACAUAAAAGAUUUAUCGUUGUGAGAUGGGCAUGCGUGACAUUAGCUAGUUGGUAAGGUAACGGCUUACCAAGGCAACGAUGUCUAGGGGAACUGAGAGGUUUAUCCCCCACACUGGUACUGAGACACGGACCAGACUCCUACGGGAGGCAGCAGUGAGGAAUAUUGGUCAAUGGACGCAAGUCUGAACCAGCCAUGCCGCGUGCAGGAUUAAGGCUCUAUGAGUUGUAAACUGCUUUUGUACGCGGGUAAAGUCAGCUACGUGUAGCUGUUUGAAAGUAGCGUACGAAUAAGGAUCGGCUAACUCCGUGCCAGCCGCCGCCGUAAUAC
rnacentral:rRNA from 1 species